rnacentral:tRNA from 1 species
GGAGAGAUGCCGGAGUGGUCGAACGGGGCGGUCUCGAAAACCGUUGACCUGGGUAACUGGGUCCGAGGGUUCGAAUCCCUCUCUCUCCGCAA